AUGGCUCAGGAUGAACGCUAGCGGCAGGCUUAACACAUGCAAGUCGAGGGGCAGCGCGAGUAGCAAUACUUGGCGGCGACCGGCGCAAGGGUGCGUAACGCGUGAGCAACAUGCCCGUAUCAGGGGGAUAAUCCAGGGAAACUUGGUCUAAUACCCCAUAGUGAUUUUUGUAAGGCAUCUUAUAAGAUUUAAAGCUUUGGUGGAUACGGAUUGGCUCGCGUGACAUUAGCUGGAUGGUAAGGUAACGGCUUACCAUGGCUAUGAUGUCUAGGGGUUCUGAGAGGAAGGUCCCCCACACUGGAACUGAGACACGGUCCAGACUCCUACGGGAGGCAGCAGUGAGGAAUAUUGGACAAUGGAUGGAAAUCUGAUCCAGCCAUGCCGCGUGAAGGAAAGAAGGUCCUAUGGAUUGUAAACUUCUUUUGUAUGGGAGCAAUAAGGCCUACGAGUAGGUUGAUGAGAGUACCAUACGAAUAAGCACCGGCUAACUCCGUGCCAGCCGCAGC
rnacentral:rRNA from 1 species